GAUGAACGCUGGCGGCGUGCCUAAUACAUGCAAGUCGAGCGAACGGACGAGAAGCUUGCUUCUCUGAUGUUAGCGGCGGACGGGUGAGUAACACGUGGAUAACCUACCUAUAAGACUGGGAUAACUUCGGGAAACCGGAGCUAAUACCGGAUAAUAUUUUGAACCGCAUGGUUCAAAAGUGAAAGACGGUCUUGCUGUCACUUAUAGAUGGAUACGCGCUGCAUUAGCUAGUUGGUAAGGUAACGGCUUACCAAGGCAACGAUGCAUAGCCGACCUGAGAGGGUGAUCGGCCACACUGGAACUGAGACACGGUCCAGACUCCUACGGGAGGCAGCAGUAGGGAAUCUUCCGCAAUGGGCGAAAGCCUGGCGGAGCAACGCCGCGUGAGUGAUGAAGGUCUUCGGAUCGUAAAACUCUGUUAUUAGGGAAGAACAUAUGUGUAAGUAACUGUGCACAUCUUGACGGUACCUAAUCAGAAAGCCACGGCUAACUACGUG
rnacentral:rRNA from 1 species